GGCCGGGCGAGCCGCGCCAAAUUUAAAAGCGGCCAUAGCGUGAGCUUCCCUCAGACCACGCGGAGAGCGACAGCGGCAGCGGCGAAAAAGGUUAGUCAGACUAAUGAGAAACUUCAUGCUUUCAAGUCUGCACGGAAAAAAAGAAUCACUGAUUGGUGUUACCUCUAUCAAACUUAAUCACCUACUUUCUGGGCAAACACAGGAGACGUUUAGAAGCCGGUAUUGUGAGUUAAACAGCUUCUGAGUGAAGACAUAGAGGACAUUGCAUGUGGAAGAAAUGACUGAAGGUUAUCUAGUGAUAGAAGAAAAUUAAUUCAUUGGGAAACUGAGGAAGGGACUGGAGAAUUAUUGAAAGUAAAAUCUUGAAAGAUUUUUUUCAUCACUUUCCUCAGAAAUGGAUAUGUGACCUCAGUUAAAACUUUUCAUAAAUUUUUAAUCUAAAAGAAGACAUCCAUCUUGAAUACUAAAAUGUAGCAAAGAUAAACACCUGAAAUCAAAGUUCUACAACGGGUAUUGUCAGGCAACUGAAUUCUAAGUGGUGUAAAUGACAAAGACUAGAGUAAGACUAGAGUGGCUGGAAACAUAAGUUGCAUUUCUUCCAGCAAGGAUGAGGCAACUGAACAAUUUUUGCAUCAGCCAGUCACCUAGAAGCCCAGAGGAACUCUUCAAGCCAGGAGAGCAAAGGCUUACAGACCCAGUCAAGAAAUUAAAUGCUGCUACAGGAAAAAUAUUUCUUCAAAAAUUGAAAUUCAACUCCUCUGAAAGCAAUUCCUUUCCUCUGUCUUGGAGAUUUGGCCCAGAUGCAAUAAACAUUGCUGACAAUGAAGAAGGAACAUUGAAUAUUUUGCUGUCAAGUGCUACCUGGAUUUUUGAAAACAAGAACUUGAGGCAAAAUUGGAGCUAACUGUGGAAAUGAAAUAACAGAAAAAAAAAUCAGCUUAAAUUAAAUAAUGAGGCACAGUGAUAGGUUGGGUCUGCUUGGAGUUCUGUAAUGUGAAGAAGGAGAACGAGCAAGCAGUAUAUUGGGCAGCUUCUUCGCAUAGCUACUCCAAGGUGUAGAGGUAAUUCUUCAGUCAGUCUUCAGAUUUACAUGGAGACCAUUUUGCAGCUGCAUUUUUUGCUGCUUAGUCCUCCCUCCAAAAAAGAAUAAACGUGUGAUUUUUUUUUCAAAGAAAGGCAAACCCUUACAUAUAGUAAAUGAUUUUCAGCAGUCAAACCGGGAGUAUAGGAAGUAAGUGCUUUACCGUGUGUGAGCUGUAGAAAAAGGAGGCCAGAAGUUCUCAGAUUUUUUUGAGGGAGUUACCCUCUUUCAGCAUUUCUCUUUUCCUGCAGUCCUAAAUCAGAAAAAGAUUCAUUUUGUUUGAAGUAAAAGAAUGAGAACAGGCUAUAAUUUACAGUUGAGGUAUAAAUAUUUACCCUUCCAGCUCUGAGCCAAUUACACUCUUUUGACUCUUUUUUCAUUAGAAAUUGCAUCUUUCAUGUAAAAUUUGAUUGAAGUCAUCUCUCUUAAAAGAUGAGGGUGGGGAAAGAAGUUACAUAACAGAGAAAUGAAAGCAAUAUUUUUCUUUCAUUUCUAAAUGAAAUAUUUUCAGUUGACCCAAAAUACAAUUUUCUAGCUUUUUUACAUUCCUUCCUUCUUUUACAGAGUUGGUGUUAGUUGAACCAUAUCCCUCUCCUCAAUAAUUUAAAAUUGUGAUUUUGCCUCAAAACUGAAACACAUUGUGUUAUAACAGCCUUAAAAUAAAAGUUUGUUUUAUCUUUCUUA